UGCAGAGGGUGCGAGCGUUAAUCGGAAUUACUGGGCGUAAAGCGUGCGUAGACGGUUUCGUAAGUCGGGUGUGAAAUCCCCGGGCUCAACCUGGGAAUUGCAUUCGAAACUGCGAGGCUAGGGUACGGAAGAGGGAAGCGGAAUUUCUGGUGUAGCGGUGAAAUGCGUAGAUAUCAGAAGGAACAUCAGUGGCGAAAGCGGCUUCCUGGUCCAGUACCGACGUUCAGGCACGAAAGCGUGGGGAGCAAACAGG
rnacentral:rRNA from 1 species